ACGACCAUACCUACUGGAAAACUCGGGAUCCCGUCCGCUCUCCCAUAGAUAAGCCAGUGAGGGCCGGAUUAGUAGUUGGGUCGGUGACGACCAGCGAAUACCUGGUGUUGUAUGUC
rnacentral:rRNA from 1 species